UUUUUUUUUUUUUUUGCGCCUUACUGCUGUUUUAAAACCGAUUCGAAUUCGCGCGACGGUACACGUAUAUAUAUAUAUAUAUGUAUAUAUGCAUAUUAUAGAUGCUCCGCGUUCGCUCCAGCGCGGAACAAUCAAUAAAUAACGCGGUCGUACCCCGCAAAGUUCGACUGCCGCGGCGGUAGUCGACAGGGUGUCUAAGUUUCCAGACAACGAAAACGAAUUAAUCGAAAACUUACACACAUAUACCGAAGAGUCUCUUUUGCAAUUUAUUCUGUUCUCCGAUCGCGUACGCAGCUAAACGAAUAUAGAUAUGCGAUACUAUACGAUACUGAACUCGCUGAUAUCAUAAACAAAUUAUUAAUGAGUGUGUCGACCGUUUACGAAUUAUUAACCCG